UUAAUCGAUUACAAUUAGGUUUGUGGAUGAACUCAGGUAUUUAGUCUACCCACACCAAUAAGUUUCAUCAUCUAACGUCAAGCAAAACGAGCAACAAACUUACACUUCACCUAAACCCAACAAAAUUAUCAACCAACAAACACCAAAAUUUAUGACCAAUACAUGUCACACACACAACCAAAAAAUCAAGAACAUACCUCAUACCAACAACAACCACAAUUUUU
rnacentral:lncRNA from 1 species